rnacentral:misc_RNA from 1 species
GGGCAUACUUUUUCGGCGCUGGAUAAAAGCGUUUGUCUUCGUCAACGAUUUCUAAGAGCAGUCAACGUCGAACAAUUAUUUGAAUUCCUUUCGAGUCUAAAUAUAAGAGAAGAAGGAGGUAUACGAGGGUCGAGCAACGUUAUACAUUAUCAACACCAGGAACGGAGCUGUCACGGGACCAGUUCACGUAACACGCAUCGGUUAUACGAAGAUUGGUCACCCUGGCGGAGCGACGUGCUUCUUCGUUUUAUCGAUCCUGCGAUCCUGCGAUCGAGGAUAAGUCGACGCGAAUCCUGCAUCUCCGGUCUUCCCUCUAGACUCGAGAUAAUUUUCUGUUUCGACGCUGUCUAUCUCUCUUUCUAUAUUUUUUUAUUGCAACAAAGCACACCAGGUUUCACCGGUUUCGUUCAUAGCAUUUUACUUUUCCUUUCCGACUAGUAUCGCCGGUCGGAGAAAAUCAAAGAGACAUCGCGUGCGUCGCUACGCCUCUACUUCUCGCCAUAGCCGGUAUUACAGAAGUAUUUACGCAUGGUCAUUGAUCGCGCGAUCAGCAAUUUCUCUUGUAAUCGUUUCGGUUAGUAUUGCCGCAUAAUGAUAACCUCUGCUCGGACGGUAAAAACGUCGGGAUAGCACCUCCCGUGGAACAUGUCAUUCAUUUCGCUUUCAUUGAAAACGCAUCACGCAUAUCGAACACUUUCUUGCGAUACUUUAGAGAAUAAAGGAAAAACGAGAGAAAAGAACACGCAACAAGUAGUGGAUAAUAUACAUUUACG